GACGAACGCUGGCGGCGUGCUUAACACAUGCAAGUCGAACGGAAAGGCCCUGCUUUUGUGGGGUGCUCGAGUGGCGAACGGGUGAGUAACACGUGAGUAACCUGCCCUUGACUUUGGGAUAACUUCAGGAAACUGGGGCUAAUACCGGAUAGGAGCUCCUGCUGCAUGGUGGGGGUGGGAAAGUUUGGGCGGUUGGGGAUGGACUCGGGGGUUAUCAGCUUGUUGGUGGGGUAGUGGCUUACCAAGGGUUUGACGGGUAGCCGGCCUGGGAGGGUGACCGGCCACAUUGGGGCUGAGGUACGGCCCAGACUCCUACGGGGGGCAGCAGUGGGGAAUAUUGCACAAUGGGCGGAAGCCUGAUGCAGCAACGCCGCGUGCGGGAUGACGGCCUUCGGGUUGUAAACCGCUUUCGCCUGUGACGAAGCGUGAGUGACGGUAAUGGGUAAAGAAGCACCGGCUAACUACGUG
rnacentral:rRNA from 1 species